rnacentral:rRNA from 1 species
AGCCACUGCUAUGGGGGUCCGACUAAGCCAUGCGAGUCAUGGGGCGCGCUCUGCGCGCACCGGCGGACGGCUCAGUAACACGUCGGUAACCUACCCUCGGGAGGGGGAUAACCCCGGGAAACUGGGGCUAAUCCCCCAUAGGCCUGAGGUACUGGAAGGUCCUCAGGCCGAAAGGGGCAUCUGCCCGCCCGAGGAUGGGCCGGCGGCCGAUUAGGUAGUUGGUGGGGUAACGGCCCACCAAGCCGAAGAUCGGUACGGGCCAUGAGAGUGGGAGCCCGGAGAUGGACACUGAGACACGGGUCCAGGCCCUACGGGGCGCAGCAGGCGCGAAACCUCCGCAAUGCGGGCAACCGCGACGGGGGGACCCCCAGUGCCGUGGCAUAGCCACGGCUUUUCCGGAGUGUAAAAAGCUCCGGGAAUAAGGGCUGGGCAAGGCCGGUGGCAGCCGCCGCGGUAAUACCGGCGGCCCGAGUGGUGGCCGCUAUUAUUGGGCCUAAAGCGUCCGUAGCCGGGCCCGUAAGUCCCUGGCGAAAUCCCACGGCUCAACCGUGGGGCUUGCUGGGGAUACUGCGGGCCUUGGGACCGGGAGAGGCCGGGGGUACCCCUGGGGUAGGGGUGAAAUCCUAUAAUCCCAGGGGGACCGCCAGUGGCGAAGGCGCCCGGCUGGAACGGGUCCGACGGUGAGGGACGAAGGCCAGGGGAGCGAACCGGAUUAGAUACCCGGGUAGUCCUGGCUGUAAAGGAUGCGGGCUAGGUGUCGGGCGAGCUUCGAGCUCGCCCGGUGCCGGAGGGAAGCCGUUAAGCCCGCCGCCUGGGGAGUACGGCCGCAAGGCUGAAACUUAAAGGAAUUGGCGGGGGAGCACUACAAGGGGUGGAGCGUGCGGUUU